rnacentral:tRNA from 1 species
GCGAGAGUGGCGGAAUUGGUAGACGCGUCAGACUUAGGAUCUGGUGGGUAAAGCCCGUGGGGGUUCAAGUCCCCCCUCUCGCACCA